AGAGUUUGAUCCUGGCUCAGAAUCAACGCUGGCGGCGUGCCUAACACAUGCAAGUCGAGCGAGAAAGUGGUAGCAAUACCAUGAGUAAAGCGGCGCACGGGUGAGUAACACGUGACUAACCUACCCUGGAGUGGGGAAUAACUGAGGGAAACCUUAGCUAAUACCGCAUAAUACCCACGGGUCAAAGGAGCAAUUCGCUCUGGGAGGGGGUCGCGGCCGAUUAGUUAGUUGGCGGGGUAAUGGCCCACCAAGACGAUGAUCGGUAUCCGGCCUGAGAGGGCGCACGGACACACUGGAACUGAAACACGGUCCAGACUCCUACGGGAGGCAGCAGUGGGGAAUUUUGCGCAAUGGGGGAAACCCUGACGCAGCAACGCCGCGUGGAGGAUGAAGUACUUCGGUACGUAAACUCCUUUCGAUCGGGACGAUUAUGACGGUACCGGAAGAAGAAGCCCCGGCUAACUUCGUGCCAGCAGCCGCGGUAAUACGAGGGGGGCAAGCGUUGUUCGGAAUUAUUGGGCGUAAAGGGUGCGUAGGCGGUUUGGUAAGUCUUUUGUGAAAUCUAUGGGCUCAACUCAUAGACUGCAAGGGAAACUGCCGGGCUUGAGUGUGGGAGAGGUGAGUGGAAUUUCCGGUGUAGCGGUGAAAUGCGUAGAUAUCGGAAGGAACACCUGUGGCGAAAGCGGCUCACUGGACCACAACUGACGCUGAUGCACGAAAGCUAGGGGAGCAAACAGGAUUAGAUACCCUAGUAGUCC
rnacentral:rRNA from 1 species